GCGCAGCACACUGUGCAUGUCGGCCUUGAGCUUCUCGUCGGCGAACCCGUCGGCGCAGGUGUCCAUGAAUGUCAUGACGCCGGUGAGCCAGUGCUCGAGGUCGUCGGAGCGGCUGAACAGCACCUUGACGUCGCCGCCGGCCAUCUCGACCAUGCCCCUGAGGUCGUCCACGGAGUCCUCCAGGAGGGCCUUGCAGUCCUCGCGCGCGCUCUCCGUCAUGCUGUCGCUCGUCUUGGCUUCGCCGAUCGCCUUCGACUUCUCC
rnacentral:lncRNA from 1 species